rnacentral:rRNA from 1 species
UACGUAGGGGGCAAGCGUUGUCCGGAAUCAUUGGGCGUAAAGCGCGCGUAGGCGGCCCGGUAAGUCCGCUGUGAAAGUCAAAGGCUCAACCUUUGAAUGUCAGCGGAUACUGCCGGGCUAGAGUCCGGAAGAGGCGAGUGGAAUUCCUGGUGUAGCGGUGAAAUGCGCAGAUAUCAGGAAGAACACCCGUGGCGAAGGCGGCUCUCUGGGACGGUACUGACGCUGAGACGCGAAAGCGUGGGGAGCGAACAGG